rnacentral:rRNA from 1 species
UACGUAGGGGGCUAGCGUUGUCCGGAAUCAUUGGGCGUAAAGCGCGUGUAGGCGGUCCGGUAAGUCCGCUGUGAAAGUCGGGGGCUCAACCCUGGAAUGCCGGUGGAAACUGUCGAGCUAGAGUCCGGAAGAGGCGAGUGGAAUUCCUGGUGUAGCGGUGAAAUGCGCAGAUAUCAGGAGGAACACCAAUGGCGAAGGCAGCUCGCUGGGACGGUACUGACGCUGAGACGCGAAAGCGUGGGGAGCAAACAGG